rnacentral:rRNA from 1 species
GACGAACGCUGGCGGCGUGCCUAAUACAUGCCAGUAGAACGCAGUUGCGAACGGGUGAGUAACGCGCAGGUCACCUGCCUCAUAGCGGGGGAUUACUAUUGGAAUCGAUAGCUAAUACCGCCUACUGUGAGAUGGAUCUGCGUUGUAUUAGCUAGUUGGUGAGGUAAAGGCUCACCAAGGCGACGAUACAUAGCCGACCUGAGAGGGUGAUCGGCCACACUGGGACUGAGACACGGCCCAGACUCCUACGGGAUGCAGCAGUAGGAAAUCUUCGGCAAGGGACGGAAGUCUGACCGAGCAACGCCGCGUGAGUGAAGAAGGUUUUCGGAGCGUAAAGCUCUGUUGUUAGAGAAGCGGUAGCUAACGAGAAAGGGACGGCUAACUACGUGCCAGCAGCCGCGGUAAUUC